rnacentral:tRNA from 2 species
GCCCUGUUAGCUCAGUUGGUAGAGCAGCCGUUUCGUAAGCGGCAGGUCGCCGGUUCAAAUCCGGCAUAGGGCU